rnacentral:tRNA from 1 species
AGUGAAAUGCCUGAUAAAAGGGUAAUUUUGAUAGAGUUAUUUAUACAGGAAGGCCCUGUUUUCACUU